CCCUCUAGACGGCUCGCACCUUCGGUGCUCGACUCGGUUGUCUCAGAAUCCUAGUUACGGGCCUGAUCUGCUUCCCUGUGACGUAUACUUAUUAGUUAAAUCAUGCAUAUAUAUGCUGGUAGCUGCAGUGAUACCGACUUGCCGACUGGAACUUCUCCAGGUCCCCCGCGAAAUAUAUCCCCCCCCCCCAGUUACACAUCCUUAAA